rnacentral:rRNA from 1 species
AAUUGCAGUUGAUACUGGCGUUCUUGAGUGCAGUUGAGGUGUGCGGAAUUCGUGGUGUAGCGGUGAAAUGCUUAGAUAUCACGAAGAACUCCGAUUGCGAAGGCAGCUCACUAAACUGUAACUGACGUUCAUGCUCGAAAGUGUGGGUAUCAAACAGGAUUAGAUACCCUGGUAGUCCACACGGUAAACGAUGGAUACUCGCUGUUGGCGAUAUACGGUCAGCGGCCAAGCGAAAGCGUUAAGUAUCCCACCUGGGGAGUACGCCGGCAACGGUGAAACUCAAAGGAAUUGACGGGGGCCCGCACAAGCGGAGGAACAUGUGGUUUAAUUCGAUGAUACGCGAGGAACCUUACCCGGGCUUAAAUUGCAGAGGAAUAAUCUGGAAACAGAUUAGUCUUCGGACUUCUGUGAAGGUGCUGCAUGGUUGUCGUCAGCUCGUGCCGUGAGGUGUCGGCUUAAGUGCCAUAACGAGCGCAACCCUUGCUGACAGUUGCCAUCAGGUUAAGCUGGGGACUCUGUCGGGACUGCCACCGUAAGGUGUGAGGAAGGGGGGGAUGACGUCAAAUCAGCACGGCCCUUAUGUCCGGGGCGACACACGUGUUACAAUGGUGGGUACAGCGGGAAGCUACGCGGCGACGCGGUGCAAAUCUCGAAAACCCAUCCCAGUUCGGAUCGGAGUCUGCAACCCGACUCCGUGAAGUUGGAUUCGCUAGUAAUCGCGCAUCAGCCAUGGCGCGGUGAAUACGUUCCCGGGCCUUGUACACACCGCCCGUCAAGCCAUGGAAGCCGGGGGUGCCUGAAGUCCGUUACCGCGAGGAUCGGCCUAGGGCAAAACUGGUAACUGGGGCUAAGUCGUAACAAGGUAACCA